ACUGAGGUGGGUGUAGGGAACUGAGGUGGGUGUAGAGAACUGAGGUGGGUGUAGAGAACUGGGGUGGGUGUAGAGAACUGAGGUGGGUGUAGGGAACUGAGGUAGUGUAGGGAACUGAGGUGGGUGUAGAGAACUGAGGUAGGUGUAGGGAACUGAGGUGGUUGUAGAGAAGUGAGGUGGGUGUAGAGAACUGAGGUGGGUGUAGAGAAC